GAUGAACGCUGGCGGCGUGCCUAAUACAUGCCAGUCGAGCGGACGGACGAGAAGCUUGCUUCUCUGAUGUUAGCGGCGGACGGGUGAGUAACACGUGGAUAACCUACCUAUAGGACUGGGAUAACUUCGGGGAACCGGAGCUAAUACCGGUUAAUAUUUUGAACCGCAUGGUUCAAAGGUGCAAGCGGGUCUUGCUGUCCCUUAUAGAUGGAUCCGGGCUGGAUUAGCUAGUUGGUAGGGUAACGGCUUACCAAGGCAACGAUGCGUAGCCGACCUGAGAGGGUGAUCGGCCACACUGGAACUGAGACACGGUCCAGACUCCUACGGGAGGCAGUAGUAGGGAAUCUUCGGCAAUGGGCGAAAGCCUGACGCAGCAACGCCGCGUGAGUGAAGAAGGUCUUCGGAUCGUAAAACUCUGUUAUUAGGGAAGAACAGAUGUAUAAGUAACUGUGCCCAUCUUGACGGUACCUAAAGAGAAAGCCCCGGCUAACUACGUG
rnacentral:rRNA from 1 species